UGUUGAGUUCGAGCCUGAGGUGUCCAGUAGAGCCCCUAGUGCCAGCACAACUGUGUUUGGAGUUUCCACAGAAUCUAUGCAACUGUCUUAUGAUUCUAGAGGGAAUAGUGUACCAACAAUUCCCUUGCUUAUGCAAGGCCACUUAUAUGCUCAAGGAGGCCUAAGGGCAGAAGGGAUCUUCAGGAUCAAUGCAGGAAAUAGUCAAGAGGAGAUUGUUCGGGAUGGCUAGGGAGAAGACUAUUUUCCAUGAAUUUUUUGGAAAAAAACAAUGGAGCAGUCUCAGUUGAUGUCAAUGGAUCAUGUGAGAGGGGUAAAUGUUGCAAACUUAGCUGAUAUGGAGCAAAGUCGUAUGCUUGCUAAUACAUUAGCUCAGAACAAUGAUCCUAAAUUUCAUGUUUUUAUUGCAUGGGAAGAAAAAUAAAGCACUAGGUCCCUGAAGAUUGGGUCUGUGAAUCUGGGAAGAGAGAUGAAGCUGUCACAAUAGCAAUGAGCAAGGGGCAAUUGUCAAUUUCAUAGCUUCAUUCCAAGAAGAAAAAGCCAGUAGAAACUGGUAAAGUUAAGUUCAUUCCUCAUGAAGAAAUCCUUAAGCUAUCUUCAGAGACCUUCUAAUAAUAAU